AAACCAUGGUGAGGACAUUGCGUCUGAUAUCCCUUGAAGCGCUCCCAUGCUUCACAGAAGGUUUUAGCAUUCUUCUGAGUGAAUCCGGAUAUCUCAUACUGGAGUCU